rnacentral:rRNA from 1 species
GGGUCAGUAGGUUGGUCGUGCCACCGGUACGUACUGGUCUCACUGAUUCCUCCUUCCUGAAGAACCGUAAUGCCAUUAAUUUGGUGUUGCGGGGAAACAGGACUGUUACUCUGAAAAAAUUAGAGUGUUUAAAGCAAGCUAACGCUUAAAUACAUUAGCAUGGAAUAAUGAAAUAGGACGAUCGAUCCUAUUUUGUUGGUUUCUAGGAUUGACGUA